rnacentral:rRNA from 1 species
CCUACGGGUGGCAGCAGUGAGGAAUAUUGGUCAAUGGCCGGAAGGCUGAACCAGCCACGCCGCGUGAAGGACGAAGGUGCCAAGUAUUGUAAACUUCUUUUGUCAAGGGACAAAAUCAGGCUCGAGAGCCUGACCGAGGGUACUUGAAGAAAACGCAUCGGCAAACUCCGUGACAGCAGCCGCGGUAAUCCGGAGGAUGCGAGUGUUAUCCGGAUUUAUGGGGUUUAAAGGGUCCGUAGGUGGACUGUUAAGCUCGCGGUAAAGGCCCGGGGCUAAACCCCGGGGAGCCGUUGAAACUGGGUGUCUGGAGUGGACGAGAGGUAUGCGGAAUGCGCGGUGUAGCGGUGAAAUGCUUAGAUAUUACGCAGAACACCGAUGGCGAAGGCAGCAUACCGGCGGCGAUCUGACGCUGAGGCACGAAAGCGUGGGUAGCGAACAGGAUUAGAUACCCGGGUAGUC